AUACGAAGGGGCAAGCGUUGUUCGGAAUAACUGGGCGUAAAGCGCACGUAGGCGGAAUGUUAAGUUAGAGGUGAAAUCCCAGGGCUCAACCCUGGAACUGCCUUUAAUACUGGCAAUCUAGAGACCGAUAGAGGUGAGUGGAAUUCCGAGUGUAGAGGUGAAAUUCGUAGAUAUUCGGAGGAACACCAGUGGCGAAGGCGGCUCACUGGCUCGGUACUGACGCUGAGGUGCGAAAGCGUGGGGAGCAAACAGUAUUAGAUACCCUUGUAGUCC
rnacentral:rRNA from 1 species